AGAGUUUGAUCCUGGCUCAGGAUGAACGAUAGCUACAGGCUUAACACAUGCAAGUCGAGGGGCAGCGGGGUAGGAAGCUUGCUUUCUGCCGCCGGCGACCGGCGCACGGGUGAGUAACACGUAUGCAACCUGGCCGUGACAGAUGGAUAACCGGGAGAAAUCCCGCCUAAUACAACAUAAUGCCGGGAGGGGACAUCCCCUGCCGGCCAAAGGGGGCGACCCCGGUCACGGAUGGGCAUGCGGCGCAUUAGGUAGUUGGUGGGGCAACGGCCCACCAAGCCGACGAUGCGUAGGGGUUCUGAGAGGAAGGUCCCCCACAUUGGAACUGAGACACGGUCCAAACUCCUACGGGAGGCAGCAGUGAGGAAUAUUGGUCAAUGGCCGGAAGGCUGAACCAGCCAAGUCGCGUGAGGGAAUAAGGCCCUACGGGUCGUAAACCUCUUUUGCCAGGGAGCAAUGCCGUCCACGUGUGGACGGAAGGAGAGUACCUGGAGAAAAAGCAUCGGCUAACUCCGUGCCAGCAGCCGCGGUAAUACGGAGGAUGCGAGCGUUAUCCGGAUUUAUUGGGUUUAAAGGGUGCGUAGGCGGCCUGCCAAGUCAGCGGUAAAAUUGCGGGGCUCAACCCCGUACAGCCGUUGAAACUGCCGGGCUCGAGUGGGCGAGAAGUAUGCGGAAUGCGUGGUGUAGCGGUGAAAUGCAUAGAUAUCACGCAGAACUCCGAUUGCGAAGGCAGCGUACCGGCGCCAGACUGACGCUGAGGCACGAAAGCGUGGGGAUCGAACAGGAUUAGAUACCCUGGUAGUCCACGCAGUAAACGAUG
rnacentral:rRNA from 1 species